AGCUGCAUAGCUCAGGGGAAGAGCGCCGGGCUCAUAACUCGGAGGGCGUUGGAUCGAAACCAGCUGUAGCUA